UACGUAGGGUGCGAGCGUUAAUCGGAAUUACUGGGCGUAAAGCGUGCGUAGGCGGUUCGCAAAGUCUGAUGUGAAAGCCCCGGGCUCAACCUGGGAACUGCAUUGGAAACUAACGGGCUCGAGUGUGGCAGAGGGGGGUGGGAAUUCCACGUGUAGCAGUGAAAUGCGUAGAGAUGUGGAGGAACACCGAUGGCGAAGGCAGCCCCCUGGGCUAACACUGACGCUCAGGCACGAAAGCGUGGGGAGCAAACAGG
rnacentral:rRNA from 1 species